GCAUAUCAAUAAGCGGAGGAAAAGAAACUAACUAGGAUUCCCUUAGUAACGGCGAGUGAACCGGGAUGAGCUCAAAUUUAAAAUCUGGCGUCUUUCAGGCGUCCGAGUUGUAAUCUAUAGAGGCGUUUUCCGCGCCGGACCGCGUCCAAGUCUCUUGGAAUAGAGUAUCAAAGAGGGUGACAAUCCCGUACUUGACGCGACAACCGGUGCUCUGUGAUACGUUCUCAAUGAGUCGAGUUGUUUGGGAAUGCAGCUCUAAAUGGGUGGUAAAUUCCAUCUAAGGCUAAAUAUUGGCGAGAGACCGAUAGCGAACAAGUACCGUGAGGGAAAGAUGAAAAGCACUUUGGAAAGAGAGUUAAACAGCACGUGAAAUUGUUAAAAGGGAAACGAUUGAAGUCAGUCGUGUGAAAGGUAUUCAGCCGUCUCUGGCGGUGUAUUUGCCUUUCACGGGUCAACAUCAGUUUGAUCCGGUAGAAAAAGGCGGGAGGAAGGUGGCACCCUCGGGUGUGUUAUAGCCUCCUGUCAUAUGUGCCGGACCAGACUGAGGAACGCAGCUUGCCGCAAGGCCGGGGUUCGCCCACGUACAAGCUUAGGAUGUUGACAUA
rnacentral:rRNA from 1 species